CAGCCGCCACGGUAAAACGUAGGGUGCAAGCGUUAAUCGGAAUUACUGGGCGUAAAGCGUGCGCAGGCGGUUAUAUAAGACAGAUGUGAAAUCCCCGGGCUCAACCUGGGAACUGCAUUUGUGACUGUAUAGCUAGAGUACGGCAGAGGGGGAUGGAAUUCCGCGUGUAGCAGUGAAAUGCGUAGAUAUGCGGAGGAACACCGAUGGCGAAGGCAAUCCCCUGGGCCUGUACUGACGCUCAUGCACGAAAGCGUGGGGAGCAAACAGGAUUAGAGACCCGUGUAGUCCCUGUCUCUUAUAC
rnacentral:rRNA from 1 species